GAUGAACGCUGGCGGCGUGCCUAACACAUGCAAGUCGAACGGAGCGCGGAUGCCGAAUUUUUCGGAAGGAGGCAUGCGCAGCUGAGUGGCGGACGGGUGAGUAACGCGUGGGCAACCUGCCCCGUACCGGGGGAUAACAGCCGGAAACGGCUGCUAAUACCGCAUGAGCGCACAGUGCCGCAUGGCACGGUGUGAAAAACCACGGUGGUACGGGAUGGGCCCGCGUCUGAUCAGCCAGUUGGCGGGGUAACGGCCCACCAAAGCCGCGAUCAGUAGCCGGCCUGAGAGGGCGGACGGCCACAUUGGGACUGAGACACGGCCCAG
rnacentral:rRNA from 1 species